GAUGAACGCUGGCGGCGUGCUUAACACAUGCAAGUCGAACGGAAAGGCUCCUGCUUGCAGGGGUACUCGAGUGGCGAACGGGUGAGUAACACGUGGGUGAUCUGCCCUGCACUUCGGGAUAAGCCUGGGAAACUGGGUCUAAUACCGGAUAGGACGAUGGGUUGGAUGCCAUUGUGGAAAGUUUUUCGGUGUGGGAUGAGCUCGCGGCCUAUCAGCUUGUUGGUGGGGUAAUGGCCUACCACGGCGUCGACGGGUAGCCGGCCUGAGAGGGUGUACGGCCACAUUGGGACUGAGAUGCGGCCCAGACUCCUACGGGGGGCAGCAGUGGGGAAUAUUGCACAAUGGGCGCAAGCCUGAUGCAGCGACGCCGCGUGGGGGAUGACGGCCUUCGGGUUGUAAACUCCUUUCGCUAGGGACGAAGCGCAAGUGACGGUACCUGGAGAAGAAGCACCGGCUAACUACGUG
rnacentral:rRNA from 1 species